GAAUUUUAUGAGUGUCCCUCUGUGGAGGAGCCUGAGAGAAAGGCUCAUGGAGGGCAGAGGGUGGAGGGCGUGGGACCAAGUUCCUUAGAUAAGGCUGUGGCCCCAUGGUAAGGGUCUGGACGGGGAAGGUCAGUGUUAACCCUUUGAAGGGCCCCCGGGGAGUGGAUCAGGUUCAGAGCCCAAGGCUUUCACACAUAGGUGUGUUCUAAAGCUGGUAAAGCCUCGGAUCAUCAGCCAGUGUCAGGUGUCACAGCAUAGCCAAGCGACCAGACGAGCAGAUGAGACCUUGUUAAUCUCCAGUGGUGAUGAGUAACCGUUCUCUCUAUCACAUAUCACAUACUGGUGAUUCAUCCAGGUGGCGCUAGGAGGGAUCUUCGCCGCAGAGGGCAUUCGAGAGAUGACAACUCUAGACAUCCAUGCAACUUCUGUUCUUGUGCUCCUGCUGUUUUCAAAUUCCACAGUCACAGACUGCACCCUGGAAAACUCAGGACACCCUAGAGUGAACUGCUCUGAAGAACAAAGUUGCUACUUGCUUGCUACCUCUGGUUGCUACCCCUGGUUGUGUUUGGUUGCCACAUAAUGAAAUGAUUUUCCUUCCCUCUUUUAUUUCCUUUCUUUCUUUUUUUUCUGCUACAAAUGGAAAAAUAGUUUGAUCACCUUGAAUCUUUUCACCCUUGGUAUUCUCCCCCUUCACACCCGAGCACCGCCCCUUGAUAAAUGAGAACACGUGUACUGAAAUCGCAGACUUCACCCUCCAGACUCAUCGUCCUCAUGCUCUCAGGGGGGACAUGUUUCCUUUCAAACCUCCAGAAUAAAUUCAUCACAGCAGGAAGAAGAUUGUUUUUCUUAAAAAAAAUCAAAUCCUGUAUCACAAUUAUUUCAUUUCAGAGGGAAAAUGCUCCCCUUCCAUCUGAAACUUUCUUCUCUCCAGCUCUGCAGUCUUUGACCGUGGCGAUCCGGCACCCUCGGCCCGGCUGCUUUUGCAAAGUCCACACUGAUUCAUUAUUUCAGAGAGCCAAAGGGUGACACAUGCAUAUUUUGAAUAUUACCCUGUAUGUAGAUCUGCCUCUGGCUUGACUUAGGGGCUUCUAACUGCCUGAUGUAUUGGCACUCGCAUGCUUUCAAUGGUGUUUGCAUUUAAAAAAUCAUCUUCAAUUCUUUCAUUUGGAGGGUGAACUUUCUGAAAAGGAUGCUGGGAACCAUGUUAUUUCAGUGUUAUUUCUCUACUAUACCAGCCCCUUUGCAAGCAAACCCCUUUUUCCUUAAUGACAACACACAGUGACAAAUGCCCAGUGCUGUAAACGUGAAGCUCCUUGGUUUGACUGAGACGGUCUGUAGCUGACAUCGAGAAGCAGGACAUCUUCCUGAACCAAAACACCUACUCAAGAACUCCUAUAAACUUCCUUACGCUUUGUUUUAAGGAAAACCGCCUGACAAGAAGCAUACUUGCUCCUCGCUGCCAGGCAUCUUUCUGUUUAUGUAGCCUUUGUUUACAUGUAUCCCCUGUUAAUAACAAUCAAUAUUUAACAGAUGCACUCAGGCAUCUUGGAAACUAAUUUUCUUUCAAACGCAAGCACUUUCUGGGAAGGAAUAAAGGGAGAGGAGAGUAGGGUUGGCAGCCCUCCAUCGCGUGACCAUUUAUUGUCAUGGAAUGUAGCAGAAGACGGCUCCUGCUAUUUCCUUUUGAUUUCAGUGUGUAAAUCUGCUCUCACCUAAAGCUUGACCGCGUGACAGUGCAGACACACAUUAAACUGAUUAUUUCUGUCUGAGCUGUGUGUAGAAUGUGCACUCUAAAUUGCACAUAAAAAUGUUCUCCAAAAUAGUACCACCUGCCUGCACGAGGAUCAUUUUCUUUCACAAAGGCAGACUCAAAUGUGUUUCUGUGAUUCUGCAGCCUCUGGGCUGAUGAGGGUUGUCGCCCUUUCUGUGUCGGGUGCAAGCCGGGCUGGACUGGGGUUGCUGCUCUUCUUAGCCCCCUGCCUUCCACUCCAGAGGGAGAUGAGGACUCCGGCGGCCUCACUGUGGUGUCUUUAGUUCUUGCUUAGAAGAGGGUCUCAGAUUCCCAGGGAGCAGCUUCUCCUGAUCAAAAGGAGAGAGAACAGAGGAAGGCAGGGUGGGUGGGCAGAAGGGGCUGGAGUGGAGCGAGUGGAGAAAAAAGAGGCAGAAGAACAUAAAAGUAUAGCACAAACCAUUGCAGCCCAGGGAAGAGCACCUAGAGAAGAGGGGAGAGAAACGAACCUAGUAAGGAAGACUGAGAAAGGAGGAUAAAAGUAAACACUGGGAGAGUGGCUUCAUUUUUUACAAGGCAGGAUGAAAACUAACCCCAGAAAAGGCAAGAUCAAAUUAUUAUGAUUUCUCCAGACUAGCCCAUGUUUCUCCAAACAAAUGCCGUGCCCUUGCCAAGAAAAAGAAGAGAAAGAUGUUCAGAAGGAGAAAGAGAGGUGUUUUGUCCGUACAGGGGCAAGCUAUGGGAUGUCAUUCUCAACAUAGCGCUUCCCUGACUCACUAACUCACACAAGGACCAGAGUAAAGGAAGUCAUCUCAUCCCAACUUUGAGGGCUGGGCUUGCAAAUGCUUCUAAUUUUCUAAUAUUUGGGGUUAUGUGCAGGAAUUUUCUUGGUCAUGUUAUGCUCUGGAUACAUAGCUUUGCGGAUCUAAGCACGGAAGAUAGAGGCUGCCCCUUCAGUUAUAGUUGAAAAAUUGAGGACCACAACUUUUCUGUCAUGUCUUUAUUAGCUCGGAGGGCUGAGGCUGCUCUGCUCUCUCACAGACUUUGGGACUUUUGGUUUUGGCCCCUAAAAGUCUGGGGCCCUUCAUCCUCACCCACAGACUGUGCUUUUUGCUUCUAUUUUCCAUUUUAGCCAAGCUUCUAAGAAGUAAUCUAUAUCCAUCUGGGCUCAGUGGAUCAUGCCUGUAAUCCCUGUCCUUUGCGAGGCCAAGGCAGGAGCAUCUCCUUAGGCCAGGAGUUCAAGACCAGCCUGGACAUCAUAGGGAGAUCCCCAUCUCUACAAAAAAAAAUACAACAAAAAGGCUGGGCACGGUUGCUCAUGCCUGUAAUCCCAGCACUUUGGGAAGCUGAGGCGGGCAGAUCACCUGACAUCAGGAGUUUGAGACCAGCCUGGCGGACAUGAUAAAACUCUGUCUCUACUAAAAAAUGCAAAAAUUAGCUGGUGUGGUGGUUCCUGCCUGUACUCCCAGCUACUCGGGAGGCUGAGGCAGGAGAAUCCCUUGAACCCGGGAGGCAGAGUUUGCAGUGAGCCAAGACUGCACCACUGCACUCCAGCCUGGAUGAAAGAAUGAGACUCUGUCUCAAAAAACAAAACAAAAACAAAAACAACAAAAAAUAAUAUUCUAUAUCCCUAUUUCUGCAUCUGCAGCUCACGUUCCCAUAUCAGACAUCUGUACGUCAGCUUCCCUCUCCCACACCCUGGCAAAGUCUAAGCCCCAUGCCCAAGGCAGAGGGAGCUUUUCAGUCCAUUUCUUGUCUUCGUGGUGACACCUAAUGAUGCUGAACUGUCCCUUGUUGAAUCUGCCCCUCUGUUGAGCUACCUGACACCAUCCUCUCCUGUUCCCCUCUGCCUUUUCUGACUCGCCAUUCUUCCUCUUCCUGUCAGAUACCUGUUUUGUUUGGCUUGGUUUGGUUUUAGCUCUGUGGUGGUUAAUUUUAUGUCAACUUGCCCUGAUAUCUGGUCAGACACCAUUCUGAGUGUAUUUGUGGGAGUGUUUCUGGAUGGGAUGAACAUUGAAUUGGUGGAAUGACUAAAGCAGAUGCUCUCCCCAAUGUGGGUGGGCCUCAUCCAGUCUGUUGAAGGCCUGAAUAGAACCAAGUCCUAAGGAAGGAGAUGUUCCUCUCUCUGCCUGGUGGUCUUCAGGCUGGGACAUUGGUCUGCUUAUGCCUUCAGAUUUGGACUGAGGUUUACACCAUUGGCUCUCCUGCUUCUUUGGCCCUUGAACUAUAUAGAUCUUGAGAUUUUUCGGUACCCCUGAGAGGGAGGGGGAGGGAGAGAGAGAGGGGAACCUAAUGGUUCUGUUUCUCUGGAGAACCCUGACUAAUACAAGCCCAUUCUUGAGUGUUGGUGUUUCCCUCCCCUACAUCUCCCUCAUAGCCAAGACUCAAAUGAGUCACCCAACCCAGGUCCCAGGCACAUCUCAGCCCUCUGAGUUCUGCUGCUGCACCCUAGCCGCAGGUAAACUAUUUUCACCAAGGUCAUUGCCAUUGGCUGAAUAGUGGCCUCACAAUAUAUCCAUGCCCCAAUCCCCAGAGCCUGGGAAUGUCAUCUUAUAGGGCAAAAGGGACUUUACAGAUGUGAUUACAUUAAGGAUAUUGGGAUGGGGAGAUUAUCCUGGAUUGUCUGGGUGGAUCCUACAUGUUAUCAUAAGUGUCUAUAAGAGACAGAAAAGGGGAUUCAAAUUCAAAAUUAGCCCCCGAUUGGAUCACAGACCUAAAUGUAAGAGCUAAAACUAUAAACUACUUGAAAAAAAACAUAGGCGUAAAUCUUCGUGACCUUGAAUUAGGCAAUGGUUCUUUAUAUCUGGCACCAAAUGUGUAAGUCACAAUAGAAAACAGAUAAACUAGACCACAUCAAAAUUAAAAGUUUUUAUGCUACAAAUGAUAGUAUCAAGAAAAUAAAAAGGCAAUCUACAGAGUGGAAGAACAUAUUUGCAUAUCAUAGAUAUGAUAAGAAACUUGCAUUUGGAAUAUGUAAAUAACUCUUACGACUCAAAAAUAAAAAGACAAGUAACCCAAUUUAAAAAUGAACAAAGAAUCUGAAUAGACCUUUCUCCAAAGAAAAUAUACAAAUGGCCAAUACGAUUAUGAAAGAAUUUGCAACAUCAUUAGUCAUUAGGGAAAUGCAAAUCAAAACCACAAUAUCACUUCACACCCACCAGAAAUGGCUUAAAUAAAAAAGACAGAGAGUAGCAAGUGUUGUCAAGGAUGUAGAGAAAUUGCAACCCUUAUUCAUUGCUGGUGGGAAUGUAAAAUAACAUAGUUACUCUGGAAAACGUUAAACUCAGAAUUAUUAUGUGACUCAGCACUCCCACUCCUAGAGGUGUGUGUGUGUGUGCGUGUGUGUGUGUGUGUAUGUGUGGUUUAUAUAUACAUACGUAUGCAUGUAUAUAGAAAGAUGGAUAAAAGAUACAUAUGUGUAUAUAUAUCCAAGAUAAAUAAAAAUGUACAUGUACAUGAAACUGGUAUGUGAAUGUCCAUAGCAGCAUUAUUCAUAAUAGACAAAAAGUGAAAACAAAGGCCUAUCAACUGAUAAAUGGAUAAGCAAAAUGUGAUCUAUUCAUAUGAUGGAAUAUUACAGAGCAAUGAAAAGAAAUA
rnacentral:lncRNA from 10 species